rnacentral:rRNA from 1 species
AAAGCGUGCGCAGGCGGUUAUGUAAGACAGAUGUGAAAUCCCCGGGCUCAACCUGGGAACUGCAUUUGUGACUGCAUGGCUAGAGUACGGUAGAGGGGGAUGGAAUUCCGCGUGUAGCAGUGAAAUGCGUAGAUAUGCGGAGGAACACCGAUGGCGAAGGCAAUCCCCUGGACCUGUACUGACGCUCAUGCACGAAAGCGUGUGGAGCAAACAGGAUUAGAUACCCGUGU